GACGAACGCUGGCGGCGUGCCUAAUACAUGCAAGUCGAGCGCAGGAAACUGACGGAACUCUUCGGAGGGAAGGCAGUGGAAUGAGCGGCGGACGGGUGAGUGACACGUAAGGAACCUGCCUCAAGGAUUGGGAUAACUCCGAGAAAUCGGAGCUAAUACCGGAUAGUUCAACGGACCGCAUGGUCCGCUGAUGAAAGGCGCUCCGGCGUCACCUUGAGAUGGCCUUGCGGUGCAUUAGCUAGUUGGUGGGGUAACGGCUCACCAAGGCGACGAUGCAUAGCCGACCUGAGAGGGUGAUCGGCCACACUGGGACUGAGACACGGCCCAGACUCCUACGGGAGGCAGCAGUAGGGAAUCUUCCACAAUGGACGAAAGUCUGAUGGAGCAACGCCGCGUGAGUGAUGAAGGUUUUCGGAUCGUAAAACUCUGUUGUAAGGGAAGAACACGUACGAGAGGAAAUGCUCGUACCUUGACGGUACCUUACGAGAAAGCCACGGCUAACUACGUGCCAGCAGCCGCCGUAACAC
rnacentral:rRNA from 1 species